rnacentral:rRNA from 1 species
AGUGAACGCUGGCGGUAGGCCUAACACAUGCAAGUCGAACGGCAGCACAGUAAGAGCUUGCUCUUACGGGUGGCGAGUGGCGGACGGGUGAGGAAUACAUCGGAAUCUACUUUUUCGUGGGGGAUAACGUAGGGAAACUUACGCUAAUACCGCAUACGACCUACGGGUGAAAGCAGGGGAUCUUCGGACCUUGCGCGAUUGAAUGAGCCGAUGUCGGAUUAGCUAGUUGGCGGGGUAAAGGCCCACCAAGGCGACGAUCCGUAGCUGGUCUGAGAGGAUGAGCAGCCACACUGGAACUGAGACACGGUCCAGACUCCUACGAGAGGCAGCAUUGGGGAAUAUUGGACAAUGGGCGCAAGCCUGAUCCAGCCAUACCGCGUGGGUGAAGAAGGCCUUCGGGUUGUAAAGCCCUUUUGUUGGGAAAGAAAAGCAGCAGGUUAAUACCCCGCUGUUCUGACGGUACCCAAAGAAUAAGCACCGGCUAACUUCGUG